rnacentral:rRNA from 1 species
AUGUACUACUUUGAUAAUCCUGAGAAAAGCCCAUUCAACUUUAUAAUGGGAGUAAUGUUGGAUCAACGUGAAUACUUUAGGGAUUAUCGCUUGACUCAAAAAGGGAAACUAUUAUGGGAUCAAAUUCAUAUGUUGCAUUGGUAUGCUCGGGAACUGUGCUUGAGAUAUGAUUAUACUUGUUGCUCUAGGAUGAAGGCUCCACACCUUCCCUUUUCAUGUGAAUUUAAUGAUAAUAAUACCUUAGCUUCUUAUGCUAAUGGUAUAUAUGAUUACUAUGAUGUGGAACAAAUAGAAGAAUUCGUUGCUUUUAUGGGUGCUUAUGAAAUUGAAUCUUUGUUUAAAGAGUGUGAAAAUCUUUAUGAUGAUGUUUAA